rnacentral:lncRNA from 1 species
AGUGUCGCAUCACGCGAAAAACCGGCGGGAAAAGAAAGAAACAACAGAGCCGCCACCGUGCGUUAUUUAUCCCAAAAGAGGGAAAGGAAACGCUCGAAGUAAACCUAGGAAAGAACAUGGUCUCGCGACCAAAGAGAAUGGGUUCGGGAGUCGGUUAUGCGAAGGGAAGGUAUUAGCACCCCUACGCAUCCGUAGUACUCUACGGGAUCCACGCACAAAAGGAAGGAAAAUUGGUUGCUAAACACUGCUCAAACUCACACACACUGGCUGAAAGAGACAAAAGAAACUGACUGAAACUGACUCGGCAGGACAUCGCAUCCUGGGCCUACUUAGUCUAUCAGGCAUAGACAUCAGAGUCGAAGUAGUUCGGACUGGGGAAACGACACAUGCUCGCUAGGAUAUCGCAUCCUAUGCAUACGUAUCUUCUCGGACGAGAGAAGAAUCAGAGCAUUCGUAGCUCGGCUGACACGCACACAAACAAAACAAGACACAGGCAAACGUGGAGCCCGACUGCCAAUCACUGGACUUAUGUCAGCAUCCGAACCUAAAACACACGCAAAGAGGCAAACGUGGAGCCCAAAUGCCAAUCACUGGACUUACAUUGACAUCCGAACCUAAACAACACAACAGAUAGAUAGGGAGUCGGGGACUCAGCCUAUAACUGUC